CCGGAGCUAACGCGUUAAGUCAUCCGCCUGGGGAGUACGGUCGCAAGACUGAAACUCAAAGGAAUUGACGGGGGCCCGCACAAGCGGUGGAGCAUGUGGUUCAAUUCGAAGCAACGCGCAGAACCUUACCAGCCCUUGACAUGGCAGGACGGUUUCCAGAGAUGGAUUCUUUCCCUUCGGGGACCUGCACACAGGUGCUGCAUGGCUGUCGUCAGCUCGUGUCGUGAGAUGUUGGGUUAAGUCCCGCAACGAGCGCAACCCUCGCCCUUAGUUGCCAUCAUUCAGUUGGGCACUCUAGGGGGACUGCCGGUGAUAAGCCGAGAGGAAGGUGGGGAUGACGUUUCUUA
rnacentral:misc_RNA from 1 species